GUGAUUCUUCUGCCUCAGCCUCCCAAGUAGCUGGGAUUACAGAAACUCCUCCUACCCAUGGAAUCUGCCAGCAGUUGGAUUCUUGACUAUCUUUAGGACUUUUCCUAAUCUCACCUUCUCCAUCUGUGAAAUGGAAAUAAUCAAAGGUAAACACAAGGAGGGCAGAGAGUUCUCCUGCAUCUGCUACUUUCUUGCCUUCAGCUCAACAAUCCUUCUGUGAAAGAGGCAUAUUUUGUGGUGCUAUGUGCUGAUCUUCCACACAGCCAAAUGGAGGCAGAGGUCACAGAGGAACUAGAAGGAUGGAAAACUGCAGGAGAGUCUCGUUGCCAUCACUCAGUCAAUCAACCAGUUUUGGAUACCUGCCAUGUGCCAAGCCCUGACUGCAGUAAAAAGGAUACCAAAAUAAAUUACUUACUGCUCUCAAAAAGCAAACCGUUUGCUGGCAGACUUGAUCAUAUACCAAUGA
rnacentral:lncRNA from 1 species